GGGUUUGUUUCGGUAACACAGAUACUAAAACUAGAAUGAUGCACAGAAGAUUACAUGGCCCCUGCGCAGAGACAACAUGAAAUUCAUGAAGCAUCCCAUGUUUUU
ensembl:snRNA U6 U6 spliceosomal RNA